CAGUAGCCACGGGAAUACGUAGGUGGCAAGCGUUGUCCGGAAUUAUUGGGCGUAAAGGGCUCGCAGGCGGUUUCUUAAGUCUGAUGUGAAAGCCCCCGGCUCAACCGGGGAGGGUCACUGGAAACUGGGAAACUUGAGUGCAGAAGAGGAGAGUGGAAUUCCACGUGUAGCGGUGAAAUACGUAGAGAUGUGGAGGAACACCAGUGGCGAAGGCGACUCUCUGGUCUGUAACUGACGCUGAGGAGCGAAAGCGUGGGGAGCGGACAGGAUUAGAUACCCCGGUAGUCCCUGUCUCUUAUAC
rnacentral:rRNA from 1 species